CGCGAGGUUGCGUAACAGCGGAAGCGGGGAGCAAGUUCUCUGCUUCGCUCGAUGUUGAUGUAGGGUGCGAACGUAGCGGCCGCUAAAAGGACGGUUGUCCCCUUGGACGCAGAGAUGACGAGUGACAACCUCAAGGCGCAGCGGGCCGCCCUGUGGUCGCGUCGAUUCGCUCUGCUAUACGCGAUGGGAGUGUGGACGGUUAUUGGGUAUUUCGUUUCCCGGUCAGUGCGUUUCAGGGAGAUCCCACUGCAGGAGAAGAAGGAUCUGCCGCCACCACCGCCACUCGAUGACAACGAAUAUUCCAGAAGUGUUUGACAAGAGCAGAAGAUCAAGACUGAAACUGGACUCACAUUAACGGCAAAAACUAGUUCAUCUGUUUUUGUGCCAUAUUCUUCUCAUUUGCAUAAUCAUGCUGUCAAUUUUUUAUAAUAAUACUGGGAAAGAAAAGUAAAUUAUAUUGAAAAAAAGAGAUGUA